rnacentral:tRNA from 1 species
CGUUCCAUGGCCAAACUGGUCAAGGCUGAUUGUAGGCGAAGAUGUGGGUUCGAGUCCCGCUGGAUCAU